rnacentral:rRNA from 1 species
UACGUAGGGCGCAAGCGUUGUCCGGAAUUAUUGGGCGUAAAGAGCUCGUAGGCGGUCUGUCGCGUCGGAUGUGAAAGCCCGGGGCUUAACCCCGGGUCUGCAUUCGAUACGGGCAGACUAGAGUGUGGUAGGGAGAUCGGAAUUCCUGGUGUAGCGGGUGAAAUGCGCAGAUAUCAGGAGGAACACCGGUGGCGAAGGCGGAUCUCUGGGCCGUAACUGACGCUGAGGAGCGAAGCAUGGGAGCGAACAGG